GGGGGCAAUCUGCUCGUCCCUAGGCAGAUAGGGCGAGAGGAAAAAUGGCCAUUUUGAAAAGAUUGAUACAGUAUGUUUCUGUCUUGUUUUGUCUUGAAAUGUUGUAUUGUCUUUGUGAUGAAAAUAUGGAAGGGGUGAGAAGUAAAUUACUAAGGGAAGGAGGCACCCCAGUGGAACCAAGAAUAGUUAGGGCAUGUGUUGAUGGAAGCCCAGGAACUCUAGUCAGAAAGAAAAAGAAAGUUCAGAAGAAGAAGGAUUAUCAGGAAAAAAGUUGCAGCAAAAGGCUAUUACUAAAUACUUUUCGUUACCGGAGGGUACGUGAAGCGGAGAGGCGGCUGCCGAGUGUGCAAGCCGGUCACAGCGCAGCAAGGAUUUUCCAAGAGGCGGCGACUGGCCCUUCCCCACCUCCUGGCCGGGGAGCUGGCUCUUCCACUGCCGUGAGCCCAAAUCUAGACCUGACCUGGAGGCACAGUCUCGCAGGCUCUUGCUCCCUGUGCCCAGUAGCAGUUUGAGUGCGGGACACUCCCCAGGGCCAUCUGGGGCUGCCCAGGCACUACAGCCAGCAGAAGACGCUACUGGUGUCCCUGAUGUUUGGUCAUUUUCAAUGCCAAUAACUAAGCUACAAUGGUUCUCCCACACCUGGAAGCUGAUGAGUAAUAAGCACUAUUAAUGCUAUUUCAAAUGCAAAAAAACCUUGAGAUAAUGUACUAAAUUGUUCAGAAGGUUGUUUUCUUAGUAGAAUGCUACAGGAUUUUCUUUAGCCAUCCGGAGUUCCUGCCUUCAUCCCAGUGCUGGUGAAAACAAAUGUAGAAGAAUUUCCAGUGUUGCUGAAAACCGGACGAGAAACAGAUGAGAUUUCGGAUCAAGCUAGUUGCCUGAAGAACUUACCUGGACUGUGAUUGAAGCUAGCUGCCUGCAGAACUUACCUUGACUGUGAUUUACCGGGACUGUGCGUUAAUCUAUUGAGACACUGCUUUACCUGGACUGAGACAACAAACUGUAAUCUACAACAAAUUGUAACUCGGUAUCUUUACAAAUGGUGUCAUUGCUGGUAUAAUUUUUCCAAGGGCUUCUUGCAUGGAGCCAUCAAAUGGCUUGGUAUUGUGGCAUUUUGUAUCCUCCCUUUCUGUUUGUAGCAGGUUAUUUAUGGUGUUUCUGUAAAAACCACUAUGGUCGUUAUUUAAAUUAAACAAAAGGGGGAAAUGUUAGAGUCUGUAAACAAGUCAAAAUAACACCUGGCAUUUUGCCAGGGGAAUGUUAGAGUUGGUAAACAAGUCUGGAUGGUGCCUGGCAAAAUGCCAGAGGGAGUGGUUUGAGAAGUAACAAAAGCGAGCCAUUAAGUGUGGAGAUUCCUGAUUGGUUGACUGAUGUAUCUAGUUUAUGCUAAUUA
rnacentral:lncRNA from 1 species